GCCAAGUCAAGAGGGGACCACAAUUAAUGAGAAGCACAAUUAACGGGGAUGAAAUUAAUGGGGACACAAAUAAACGAGAACCCAUAUUAACGAGAAUCCAAAGUAAUGAGAACCCAAAUUAACGAGAGCCCCACCCAAUGGCAAACCACGGCCAUGGGAAGGCAAACCAAUGGGAACCCACAUCAAUGGGGAGCCAAGACAAUUAAUGAGAAACACAAUUAACGGGGGUUAAAUUAAUGGGAACCCUAAUUAAUGGGAACCCAAUUUAACGAGAACCCCAAUUAAUAAGAACGCCACUCUGUGGCAAACCACGGCCAUGGGAAGGCAAAGCAAUGGGAACCCACAUCAAUGGGGAGCCAAGUCAAGAGGGGACCACAAUUAAUGAGAAGCACAAUUAACGGGGAUGAAAUUAAUGGGAACUCUAAUUAACGAGAACCCAUAUUAACGAGAACCCCAAUUAACGGGAACCGCAAUUAAUAAGAACCCCACCCAAUGGCAAACCAGGGCCAUGGGAAGGCAAACCAAUGGGAACCCACAUCAAUGGGGAGCCAAGACAAUUAAUGAGAAACACAAUUAACGGGGGUUAAAUUAAUGGGAACCCUAAUUAAUGGGAACCCAAUUUAACGAGAACCCCAAUUAAUAAGAACGCCACUCUGUGGCAAACCACGGCCAUGGGAAGGCAAAGCAAUGGGAACCCACAUCAAUGGGGAGCCAAGUCAAGAGGGGACCACAAUUAAUGAGAAGCACAAUUAACGGGGAUGAAAUUAAUGGGAACUCUAAUUAACGAGAACCCAUAUUAACGAGAAUCCAAAGUAAUGAGCACCCAAAUUAAUGAGAGCCCAAUUCAUGGCAAAGCUCAUUAAUGGGAAUGGAAAGGAACGAGAACCCACAUCAAUGGUGAGCCAAGGACCCCAAUUAACAGCAACCCCAAUUAAUGGGGACUUAAACUAAUGGGAACCCAAAUUAACGAGAACCCCAGUUAAUGAGAACCCACUUAAUGGCAAAGCUCAUUAAUGGGAAUGCAAACAAAUGAAUCCCUUCAUUCAAUGACAACCCAAAGCAAGAGGGGACCCCGAUUAACGGGAACCCGAAUUAAUGGGUCUUAAAUUAAUGGCUACCCCAAUUAAUGAGACCUAAAAUUAAUGAGACCUAAAAUUAACGAGACCUAAAAUUAAUGAGAACCCAAUUAAUGGCAAAACUCAUUAACAAGAAUGCAAACCAAUGAGAACCCUCAAUCAACGGCAACCCAAACCAAGAGGGGACCCCAAUUAAGGGAAUCCCAAUUAAUAGGUCAUAAAUUAAUGGCUACCCGAAUUAAUGAGUCUUAAAUUAAUGGUUACCCUCAUUAAUGAGACCUAAAAUUAAUGAGAACCCCAAUUAAUGGCAAAGCUCAUCAAUGGGAAUGUAAACCAAUGGGAACCCGCAAUCAAUGGCGACCCAAACCCAGAGAGGACCCCAAUAACGGGAAUCCCAAUUAAUGGGUCAUAAAUUAACGGCUACCCCAAUUAAUAAGACUUAAAUUAAUGGUUACCCUAAUUAAUGAGACCUAAAAUUAACGAGAACCCCAAUUAAUGGCAAAGCUCAUCAAUGGGAAUGUAAACCAACGGGAACCCUCCAUCAACGGCGACCCAAACCCAGAGGGGACCCCAAUUAAGGGAAUCCCAAUUAAUGGGUCAUAAAUUAACGGCUACCCCAAUUAAUAAGACUUAAAUUAAUGGUUACCCUAAUUAAUGAGACCUAAAAUUAAC
ensembl:lncRNA